rnacentral:rRNA from 1 species
CGAAUCCCUUCGGGGAUGAGUGGCGGACGGGUGAGUAACGCGUGAGAAUCUGCCUUUUGGUCGGGGACAACCACUGGAAACGGUGGCUAAUACCGGAUAAGCCUGCGGGUAAAAGAUUAAUUGCCAAGAGAGGAGCUCGCGUCUGAUUAGCUAGUUGGUGAGGUAAAGGCUCACCAAGGCGGCGAUCAGUAGCUGGUCUGAGAGGAUGACCAGCCACACUGGGACUGAGACACGGCCCAGACUCCUACGGGAGGCAGCAGUGGGGAAUUUUCCGCAAUGGGCGAAAGCCUGACGGAGCAAGACCGCGUGAGGGAGGAAGGCUCUUGGGUUGUAAACCUCUUUUGUCAGGGAAGAACACAAUGACGGUACCUGAAGAAUCAGCAUCGGCUAACUCCGUGCCAGCAGCCGCGGUAAUACGGAGGAUGCAAGCGUUAUCCGGAAUUAUUGGGCGUAAAGCGUCCGCAGGUGGCACUUCAAGUCUGCUGUCAAAGACCGGGGCUUAACCCUGGAAAGGCAGUGGAAACUGAAGCGCUAGAGUGUGGCAGGGGUAGAGGGAAUUCCCGGUGUAGCGGUGAAAUGCGUAGAGAUCGGGAAGAACAUCGGUGGCGAAAGCGCUCUACUGGGCCACA